GGCGCUGGAAGCUGCUGCUGCUGCAAGUUCAGUUCAGCUGAGCGUGGGGAAGACCAGUGACUUGGAUAUCGCAAAGCAACGCAGUGACAGGACUGAUCCUUCUGAGAUUAUUAUCCUGGAUGAAAUGUCACAAACGCCCGUAUGGAAGGCUCUCACUUUGAAGACAGAAACCCUUUGAAUCCAGGGAGGAAAAAGGAAUCUUGACUUUGAAGGAGAGGAGUGAGAGCGUGACUCGGGGAUGUGCCAACGCAGACAGAGGGAGAAGGCGCUUUGUUUCAGUUGGAGGAUUCCCAUUAAAGCCAUGCAGAUGUUUUCAGUUAUCCUUGGUGUGCUUCAGGCAUUCAGUAUCCCUAAACCAGCAAGCUGAGGUGAACGUCACAGUCAAUGGGAGUUCGGUGGUGCUAAGUCUGUGUGCGUACGUGCGUGUGGGGGUGUGGGUUUGCAGUGGUAGAGGGACUGCUACCGCUUUAUCCUUCAGUGCUCUUCUUUUAAUACCUAAUUCCUCCUCUUCUUUUUUUUUCUUU